rnacentral:rRNA from 1 species
AUUGAACGCUGGCGGCAUGCCUAACACAUGCAAGUCGAACGCGUGGCGGACGGGUGAGUAAUGUCUGGGAAACUGCCUUAUGGAGGGGGAUCACUCCUGGAAACGAUAGCUAAUACCGCAUACUAUCAUAUGCUCCCAUAUGGGAUUAGCUUGUGGGUGGGGUAACGGCGCACCAAGGCGACGAUCCCUAGCUGGUCUGAGGGGAUGCACAGCCACACUGGAACUGAGACACGGGCCAAAAUCCUACGGGAGGCAGCAGUGGGGAAUAUUGCACAAUGGGCGCAAGCCUGAUGCAGCCAUGCCGCGUGUAUGAAGAAGGCCUUCGGGUUGUAAAGUACUUUCAGCGGGGAGGCGUUACCCACAGAAGAAGCACCGGCUAACUCCGUGCCAGCAGCCGCGGUAAUAC